GCGAUUCGAAAGCCCAAUGCGAAGCGAUAGGCAAUUGAUACUCUGUAUUGCUUACGCAUCACUAACAAUGUUGUUCACCUUUACUUUUUUUUCUUUUUAUGUAAUGGUUGGCAUUACUUCCAAAAAUAUCAAAGUAUAAACGAGCAAAAUAAAGAAAAUAAUAAUAAUUUGUUCGUUAAAACUGUGUUGAAUAAUUUAAAAAUGAAUUCUGUGGCAUUGUGGGAUCAUUAUUAUUCUCAGGAAAGAAUUGAUAGAAGAAUUAUUCGAGAUAAUUCGGACAUUAUGUCUCUAAGAGAUAAAAGCUUCAUGCAAAAUUUCCGCCUUAAUAAGCACGCAUUUUUAUAUGUUUUGGACAACAUAAGACCCCAAUUAAAAGUCGCUCAAAGAACCCCAUCAAUUCCAGAAAUUGUAAAACUGUCAACAACUUGAAGUUCCUCGCACAGGGCGGGUAUCAACACUCGGUCGGCCAAGAUAGGCAUUCAGGGCUAGCCCAACAAUCGGUUUCCCGAUGCAUCUUGGAAGUAUGCGAUGCCAUCGAGAAAACUCUGUGCCCAAAGCAUAUCGUGUUUCCCUUGACCAUUGAGGAAAAAAUUGAAGCAAAUAGAACCUUUUACUUGACGUCCGGAAUUCCAGGCGUAAUUGGAGUGAUUGAUGGGACGCACAUCAAUGAACACUUAUUUUUUAAUCGUAAACUAAAACACAGUAUAAAUGCAAUGGUGAUAUGUGAUCACAAAAUGCAGAUAAGGGCAGUAAAUGGUAGAUUUGGAGGAGCGUCGCAUGACUCCCACGUAUGGAACCUCUCAGGAGAACGUGAAAGUUUGAGGACGAACUAAGAAAAUGGAAAUAGAAGCGAACGAAUUCUUGGAGACUCCGGAUAUCCUCUUGAACCUUGGCUGCUAACGCCAUAUAGGAAUGCGCCAGAACGUUCUGAUGAACUCUAUUUCAACCAACAGUUUACAAAAGGCCGAUAACUAAUUGAACGCGUGUUUGGUGUAUUAAAAGGGAGAUUUCGAUGAUUGUUAUCUGCAAGAGAGCUACAUUACGCGCCUGAAAAAGUCGUUAAAAUUUUGAACGUAUGCUGCGCUCUACACAAUAUAUGCAUUUUGUACAAGGUAGAAGUACCAAUUAAUAUUACACUUGAGCCAGAAGAAUUUUCCACCACUAAGAAAGAUUUACCUAAUAGUGGUAAUUUUAUUACUAUUGCUAGAAACAUUAGGGACGAUAUUAAAACAAAUAUGAUA